GAGGAGAGCGGCCCGGCCGCGCCUCUUGUUGGGCUCCGGGCCUUCGCCCUGGGUGCAUCCCUCUACCGCCUUGGCCUGCCCGGCGCGCACCGCGCUGCUCGCCGCUCCCCGCCUCCUUUCGGGCUCCGAGAGCACCUCAGGGAAGAUGCUUCUGGGCGUCUGGGAUCUCACUAUGUAGCCAUGGCUGACCUGGAAUUCUGUGUAGACCCAGCUAGAUCUCAAUUCAGGAGUCUGCUUGCAUCUGCUUUCUUAGUGCUGGGAUUCAAGACAGAGUCUGGCUAAGUGGCUGGCUGGCCUGAAAUUCAACUUGUAGGUCAUGUGGACCUCAAACCUGCCAUGAUCUUCUUGCCUCUGACUGCCAAGUGCUGGAAUGACAGGCAUGUGCCACCUUGCCCAGCCUAACAAUUACUUCUAAUCUCUUCUGACACCGUCGGUCAUCAUCCCUUACCCGGCGUGGACCAGCAUGUAUGAGAUAAACCUCCAGGCUUCUUCCCUCUUCUCAGGGAGAGUUUCAUGAAUCCCAGACUGGCCUUGAACUUGCUAAGUGGCAGAGGGUGACCUUGCUUGAAGUUCUGAUCCUCCUGUCUCCAGUUCUUGAGAGCUAGGAUUACAGCCAGGCUGACGAAGAUGAUGAAGAGCGGCGGCGGGAGGCAGUUGGCUCUCUCCAGCUCUUCCUUUCCCGCUCUUUCCGUACUCAGAUUCACAGUCUCCAUCUCCACAUCGUCAGCAGCAGCCAUCGGCCUGGUCCUCCCUCCACCUAGAGCAGACAUGAAUGUGGG